AGACCCGAAACCCGGUGAUCUAGCCAUGGGCAGGUUGAAGGUUGGGUAACACUAACUGGAGGACCGAACCGACUAAUGUUGAAAAAUUAGCGGAUGACCUGUGGCUGGGGGUGAAAGGCCAAUCAAACCGGGAGAUAGCUGGUUCUCCCCGAAAGCUAUUUAGGUAGCGCCUCGUGAAUUCAUCUCCGGGGGUAGAGCACUGUUUCGGCUAGGGGGCCAUCCCGGCUUACCAACCCGAUGCAAACUGCGAAUACCGGAGAAUGUUAUCACGGGAGACACACGGCGGGUGCUAACGUCCGUCGUGAAGAGGGAAACAACCCAGACCGCCAGCUAAGGUCCCAAAGUCAUGGUUAAGUGGGAAACGAUGUGGGAAGGCCCAGACAGCCAGGAUGUUGGCUUAGAAGCAGCCAUCAUUUAAAGAAAGCGUAAUAGCUCACUGGUCGAGUCGGCCUGCGCGGAAGAUGUAACGGGGCUAAACCAUGCACCGAAGCUGCGGCAGCGACGCUGAUGCGUUGUUGGGUAGGGGAGCGUUCUGUAAGCCUGUGAAGGUGGCCUGUGAGGGUUGCUGGAGGUAUCAGAAGUGCGAAUGCUGACAUAAGUAACGAUAAAGCGGGUGAAAAGCCCGCUCGCCGGAAGACCAAGGGUUCCUGUCCAACGUUAAUCGGGGCAGGGUGAGUCGACCCCUAAGGCGAGGCCGAAAGGCGUAGUCGAUGGGAAACGGGUUAAUAUUCCCGUACUUGGUGUUACUGCGAAGGGGGGACGGAGAAGGCUAUGUUGGCCGGGCGA
rnacentral:rRNA from 1 species